AGUGAACGCUGGCGGUAGGCCUAACACAUGCAAGUCGAACGGCAGCACAGUAAGAGCUUGCUCUUACGGGUGGCGAGUGGCGGACGGGUGAGGAAUACAUCGGCAUCUACUUUUUCGUGGGGGAUAACGUAGGGAAACUUACGCUAAUACCGCAUACGACCUACGGGUGAAAGCAGGGGAUCUUCGGACCUUGCGCGAUUCAAUGAGCCGAUGUCGGAUUAGCUAGUUGGCGGGGUAAAGGCCCACCAAGGCGACGAUCCGUAGCUGGUCUGAGAGGAUGAUCAGCCACACUGGAACUGAGACACGGUCCAGACUCCUACGGGAGGCAGCAGUGGGGAAUAUUGGACAAUGGGCGCAAGCCUGAUCCAGCCAUACCGCGUGGGUGAAGAAGGCCUUCGGGUUGUAAAGCCCUCUUGUUGGGAAAGAAAAGCAGCAGGUUAAUACCCCGCUGUUCUGACGGUACCCAAAGAAUAAGCACCGGCUAACUUCGUG
rnacentral:rRNA from 1 species